UACGGAAGGCAGCAGUGGGGAAUAUUGCACAAUGGGCGCAAGCCUGAUGCAGCCAUGCCGCGUGUAUGAAGAAGGCCUUCGGGUUGUAAAGUACUUUCAGUCGUGAGGAAGGUGUUAAGGUUAAUAACCUUAGCAAUUGACGUUAGCGACAGAAGAAGCACCGGCUAACUCCGUGCCAGCAGCCGCGGUAAUACGGAGGGUGCGAGCGUUAAUCGGAAUUACUGGGCGUAAAGGGCACGCAGGCGGUUAAUUAAGUUGGAUGUGAAAUCCCCGGGCUUAACCUGGGAAUGGCAUUCAAGACUGGUUAGCUAGAGUCUUGUAGAGGGGGUAGAAUUCCGAUGUGUAGCGGUGAAAUGCGUAGAGAUGUGGAGGAAUACCGGUGGCGAAGGCGGCCCCUGGACAAAGACUGACGCUCAUGUGCGAAAGCGUGGGGAGCAAA
rnacentral:rRNA from 1 species